GAUGAACGCUGGCGGCGUGCCUAAUACAUGCAAGUCGAGCGAACGGACGAGAAGUUUGCUUUUCUGAUGUUAGCGGCGGACGGGUGAGUAACACGUGGAUCACCUACCUAUAAGACUGAGAUAACUUCGGGAAACCGGCGCUAAUACCGGAUAAUAUUUUCAACCGCAUGGUUCAAAAGUGAAAGACGGUCUUGCUGUCACUUCUCGAUGGAUCCGCGCUGCAUUAGCUAGUUGGUAAGGUAACGGCUUACCAAGGCAACGAUGCAUAGCCGACCUGAGAGAGGGAUAGCCCACACUGGAACUGAGACGCGCACCAGAAUCCUAAGAGAGGCAGCAGUAGGCAAUGUUACGCAAUGGGCGAAAGUAUGACGGAGCAACGGCGAGUGAGUGAUGAAGGUGCUCGGAGCGGAAAGCUCUGUUAUGAGGGAUGAACAUAUGUGUAAGGAAAAGUGCACAUAUUGACGGUACCUAAUCAGAAAGCCACGGCUAACUACGUG
rnacentral:rRNA from 1 species